AGAAAACACAUUCAAAUAAACAGAAUUAGGCUGAUCCAUGACUAGCUAGCGAAAAAGAGACUCGUCAAUCUCAAUCUUGAUUUUCUCAUCGUCGUCAAAUUUAUCCUUCCUAGGUGGAGAAGGAGGAGCUGGUACUCUCGGAGUUCCUCUCCCCUUCGUCUUGUCCCGAGGCCUUGCAUUUCCGUACGAAUGAUUGAACCGCUUUCCUUUCUCCGUUUUCUUAUCACCUCUGCCACAAUACACAGCAGGAAUUGAAGAAGGAGAUGAAGUUGUAGAGACUGCAAGAGAAGAAGUAGAAGAAGCACGCAGAGAUGUUCCUAGGGUCUCAAAUUUGGAGAAAGAGAAAAAACGAGGAGAAAGAGUAGGAGACUGAGAUACAGCCUGAAGAAGACCGAAAGGAAGAGAGGCCAUUGAUGGAUGAAGAAGACG
rnacentral:misc_RNA from 1 species